rnacentral:rRNA from 1 species
CGAAUGAGGAGAUUCAUCGUCAGCUUAUUCAGUAUUAAUGCAGGCUAUGAUGUGAUAAUAGAACCCUUGUGGUCACUAGAUUAUACUUGCUUGUAUUAUUUUUGCUGGGUAUGUCGGCGUCCACUUCUCCUCUAGUCGAACGUCGCAACCCGUUGGAUGUUUAUCUAUGGCUUGAAUGGUAGCCUUUGAUAUUUUUUAUAUUAAAGACCUUCGAUGUCCUGAUAAACUGUUUGACGGUAUACAUAUGGUAUUGAGCCGCAAUUAUUUGCGUUAGACUUGCCGCAAGUAUGACUUUAUUCUAGUAGUGCGGAUCUAAUGCCGUCGCUGGACAAAGUCUGCUGUUAGCUGUGUAA